rnacentral:rRNA from 1 species
AUUGAACGCUGGCGGCAUGCUUUACACAUGCAAGUCGAACGGCAGCGCGGGCUUCGGCCUGGCGGCGAGUGGCGAACGGGUGAGUAAUGCAUCGGAACGUGCCCAGUAGUGGGGGAUAGCCCGGCGAAAGCCGGAUUAAUACCGCAUACGACCUGAGGGCGAAAGCGGGGGACCGAAAGGCCUCGCGCUAUUGGAGCGGCCGAUGUCGGAUUAGCUAGUUGGUGGGGUAAAGGCUUACCAAGGCGACGAUCCGUAGCUGGUCUGAGAGGACGACCAGCCACACUGGGACUGAGACACGGCCCAGACUCCUACGGGAGGCAGCAGUGGGGAAUUUUGGACAAUGGGGGCAAUCCUGAUCCAGCCAUGCCGCGUGCGGGAAGAAGGCCUUCGGGUUGUAAACCGCUUUUGUUCGGGAAGAAAUCCUCUGGGCUAAUACCCCGGGGGGAUGACGGUACCGGAAGAAUAAGCACCGGCUAACUACGUG